rnacentral:lncRNA from 1 species
GACUAAAUUGUUCAGUUCAUGGUGCUAGAAUUAAAUGUUGAACACCACUGUAGUUACAGCUGUAUCAGUUCCAUUUGUUAGAAACCAAAUAAAUGGAUUUAAGUUGGGAGUUAGUAGAUGCACAACCGCAUCAGCUGAAGUCCUUUACAUUCAGCAGUAGCUUCAGUUCGAUUUCACGAGUUUUACUACUCUCCUCCUCGCACAUUCAGAAAAAAGGAAAUAUAAUGAUACGAUGAACACCAUGAGAAUUCCACUUGCAUUAGCUCCAUUC